rnacentral:piRNA from 1 species
UAAACAGAGAGGUGCCUACUAUGUGCUAC